AGAAUCAACGCUGGCGGCGUGCCUAACACAUGCAAGUCGAACGAGAAAGUGGGAGCAAUCCCACGAGUAAAGUGGCGCACGGGUGAGUAACACGUGACUAACCUACCCUUGAGUGGGGGAUAACCUAGGGAAACCUGGGCUAAUACCGCAUAAUACCUACGGGUCAAAGGAGCAAUUCGCUUAAGGAGGGGGUCGCGGCAGAUUAGUUAGUUGGCGGGGUAAUGGCCCACCAAGACAGUGAUCUGUAUCCGGCCUGAGAGGGGCGCGACGGAACGACGACCUGGAACGUGAAACACGGUCCAGACUCCUACGGGAGGCAGCAGUGGGGAAUUUUGCGCAAUGGGGGAAACCCUGACGCAGCAACGCCGCGUGGAGGAUGAAGCCCCUUGGGGCGUAAACUCCUUUCGAUCGGGAAGAUAAUGACGGUACCGGAAGAAGAAGCCCCGGCUAACUUCGUGCCAGCAGCCGC
rnacentral:rRNA from 1 species